UACGUAGGGGGCAAGCGUUGUCCGGAUUUAUUGGGCGUAAAGCGCGUGUAGGCGGCUCGGUAAGUCUGCUGUGAAAGUCGGGGGCUCAACCCUCGAAUGCCGGUGGAUACUGUCGGGCUAGAGUGCGGAAGAGGCGAGUGGAAUUCCUGGUGUAGCGGUGAAAUGCGCAGAUAUCAGGAGGAACACCAAUUGCGAAGGCAGCUCGCUGGGACGUAACUGACGCUGAGACGCGAAAGCGUGGGGAGCAAACAGG
rnacentral:rRNA from 1 species